rnacentral:rRNA from 1 species
UACAGAGGGUGCGAGCGUUGUUCGGAAUUACUGGGCGUAAAGCGCGCGCAGGCGGCCCUUUAAGUCCGUCGGUCAAAUGCCGGGGCUCAACCCCGGGCGUGCCGAGGAUACUGGAGGGCUGGAGACACGUAGAGGCAAGCGGAAUUCCGGGUGUAGCGGUGGAAUGCGUAGAGAUCCGGAAGAACACCGGUGGCGAAGGCGGCAUCCUGGACCAACACUGACACUGAGGAGCGAAAGCCAGGGGAGCAAACGGG